rnacentral:rRNA from 1 species
CGAACAAACGCUGGCGGCGUGUCUUAAGCAUGCAAGUUGAGCGGCAAGGGGGAGCAAUCCCCCCUAGAGCGGCGGACUGGUGAGUAACACGUGGAUGAUCUACCCAUGGCAUGGGGAUAGUCACUAGAAAUAGUGGGUAAUACCGAAUACGGUGCGUACUGUGAGGGUACGCAAGAAAGGUGCUACGGCACCGGCCUAGGAUGAGUCUGCGUCCCAUUAGCUAGUUGGUGAGGUAAGAGCCCACCAAGGCGAUGAUGGGUAGCCGGCCUGAGAGGGUGUACGGCCACACUGGGACUGAGAUACGGCCCAGACUCCUACGGGAGGCAGCAGCUAAGAAUAUUCCGCAAUGGACGAAAGUCUGACGGAGCGACGCCGCGUGGAUGAAGAAGGCCGAAAGGUUGUAAAGUUCUUUUGUUGGGGAAGAAUAACCAUGGGAGGGAAUGCCCGUGGGAUGACAUGAACCGACGAAUAAGCCCCGGCUAACUACGUG